rnacentral:rRNA from 1 species
ACGUUAGCGGCGGACGGGUGAGUAACACGUGGGUAACCUACCUAUAAGACUGGGAUAACUUCGGGAAACCGGGGCUAAUACCGGAUAAUAUUUCGAACCGCAUGGUUCGAUAGUGAAAGAUGGUUUUGCUAUCACUUAUAGAUGGACCUGCGCCGUAUUAGCUAGUUGGUAAGGUAACGGCUUACCAAGGCGACGAUACGUAGCCGACCUGAGAGGGUGAUCGGCCACACUGGAACUGAGACACGGUCCAGACUCCUACGGGAGGCAGCAGGC